rnacentral:rRNA from 1 species
GAACGCGAAGAACCUUACCUGGUCUUGACAUGUACGGAAUCCUCCAGAGACGGAGGAGUGCCUUCGGGAGCCGUAACACAGGUGCUGCAUGGCUGUCGUCAGCUCGUGUCGUGAGAUGUUGGGUUAAGUCCCGCAACGAGCGCAACCCUUGUCAUUAGUUGCCAUCAUUAAGUUGGGCACUCUAAUGAGACUGCCGGUGACAAGCCGGAGGAAGGUGGGGAUGACGUCAAGUCCUCAUGGCCCUUAUGACCAGGGGCUUCACACGUCAUACAAUGGUCGGUACAGAGGGUAGCCAAGCCGCGAGGUGGAGCCAAUCUCACAAAACCGAUCGUAGUCCGGAUUGCACUCUGCAACUCGAGUGCAUGAAGUCGGAAUCGCUAGUAAUCGCAGGUCAGCAUACUGCGGUGAAUACGUUCCCGGGUCUUGUACACACC